rnacentral:lncRNA from 1 species
UGUGUUGUAGAGAAAUGACCAGGCAGGAGACGGGAGUACAGUUUGUUUUGUUUAGUCAAAUCCUCUCGUGCUCUACAGCCCCGGUCCAAUAGUGCACAUGUGCAUUUCCUAUUAGGUGUAGUAAUAUAACACUGCCGUAAUACAUUACUGCUUAGUAACAGCAUAGUAACUAAUACAAACAGAUAUAGAUCACAGAUACGACACUCCUCCCCCAUAGUGAUUAACUCCCAGAGAACAAGGUAAAUACGUUAGGGAACUACUAAUGCAAUAUCUGAACAAUGCAUUCUUAAACAUUUUUCAACUACUGGGUUGAAGCAGUCUUUCAGAGCCCAGGACAAAUCCAGGGGAUUAUUCUGCCCUGAAGAUGGAGUUUGUGUCCUAAUAACUAACCCAGCUCAACUCACAGGUCAAGCUUUUGAGGUGCCCUUUGCUGUCAAAUAGGAUAUCUCCGCUCCUACUGGGCUUCCGAUGGUGGGCCAGGUUCUGGUGGAAGAUCAGGCUCUGUCUCUUCCGUACGUCCACUAUUCAGGAGAAUAGUCCUGGGGGUCGUUAUUGUUCUUGUUUUCUUGGCAUGUCUCUGCUGGGGUGUUGGACCACAGCAGAUGAUCCACAUGAACGUUGACAUGGCGAUGACCAACUUGGUAAGUCAAAGGUCCUCUGCGUUGCAAGAUCACACCUGAGUUCCACAGGUGCUUGGGGUGUCUGAAAUCAUGUACCAUCACUCUCUCUCCCUCUUUGAAUUCUCUGACAGUCUUUGAGUGUCUGUUAUGAGCUUUCUUCUGCUGUAGCUGGUGCUUUGCCACAGUGCUUGACAAGUCUGGUUUCAUCAAUGUCAGGUGGGUACGUGUUUGGCAUUUCAGAAACAGGUCAGCUGGUGUAUGUUCCGUUACUGUGUGUGGUGUGUUACGGUAAGUAAACAGGAAACGGGGAAGCCUUUGCUGGGUGGGCACAGACUGAACCUUGAGUCUAGUCCAGGCCUUCUUAAAGGUUUGCACGGCUCUCUCCGCUGCUCCAUUUGAUGCCGGAUGGUAAGGUGGUGACAGGAUGUGCCUUACUCCGUUGUUCUUGAGAAACAUUUCAAAAUCGUUUGACGUGAAAGGAUGGCCAUUGUCCGAUACGAGCUCCUUGACUAGUCCAAAGGAUGCGAACAGGUGUCUGAGAAGAUUGAUACUCUUCUCAGCUGUGGUCAAUUGAGUAGGGAACACUUCCAUCCACUUGGAAUGGACAUCGACCACAGCAAGGAAAUGUUGUUUGUCAACAUUGGCGUAAUCCACAUGGAUGCAUUCCCAUGGUGUAGCAGCCCAGGACCAUGGAUGAAGAGGUGCAGCAGCAGGCUUGUUUCAAACAGCUUCACAAGGUGAGCAGUGGCCUACAUGCUGCUGAAUGUCCUGAUCCAGUCCAGGCCACCACAGAUAACUGCAGGCGAGUGCUUUCAUUCGAGUGAUCCCUGGAAGUCCCUCAUGCAGGUCAGAUAGCAGUCUCCUCUGGAAUUUGUGAGUUACCACCACCCUUGAUCCCCACAGAACACAUCCUUGAUCAGUAGACAACUGGUCUUUCUUGUCGAUGAAUGGACGAAGGUUAUCGUCAUUUACGAAGGUUGGCCAACUGCCUAAUGCCUAAGCACUGGGUCUUUCCUCAUUUCCUCUGCUAUGUCUAAAGCAGAUAUGGGCAGUUCGUCGAUAAGAGAGAUCUGGAAGACUGCUCUAUCAUUCUUCACUGUCGGAGUCACUAUUGCAUGGUAGUCUUGAUAGUGCAUCUGCAUUUGCGUGAUCACUGGAUCAUCUGUACUCGAUCUCAUAGUUGUAGGCUAGCAAUAUUAUACCUUUAUUUCAACAAGGAACACAGACUGAGACCAAGGUAUAUUUUACAGCUGGGCCCUGCGAAUACAUGUUUACACAUACAGUUUAGGUACAAUGAUUAAGAAACUACACAAGACAAACAGAGCCCAAUGUUGCAUUCGAAGUGCAGCAAGGGUUGGUAUGGCUGAUUUUGGUCCAAGGAGGCUUGUGAUCUUGUAAGGCGUGGGUGUUUGCUGACGAGGAAUCAAGUGCAGGAAAACAGCGAUUCAGGGUAUUGGCUUUAAUAGGCACAAUGACUAAACUACAAGCCAACCCAAACAGCGCACAGAGCGCACUACAAAACAAAGUGCCCCAAACAAAAGGGAAAAAAACACAGCUUGUGCAAAACACACGCACCACUGAAAAUGUACAACAAACAGCGUGUCACCACGCACCGCAUACAAUGAAAUAAUCCCGCACAAAGAGCAGGCAGGCCUACUGGCUAACAAAGCCUGCUAAUCAGCCCAACUCAGAACAGGUGCACCUAAUAACGAAAAGGGGGAAAACAAAAAGGGAAUCAGUGGCAGCUAGUAGGCCGGUGAUGACGACCGCCGAGCGCCACCCGAGCAGGAGGGGGAGCCACCUUCGGUAGGAGUCGUGACAGAUCUGUAGGUAGUUGGAACUUUCUUCCGUAGAGGUAUUUGUGAAACAUCUUCACUCCGAAUAUUAUGCUCAGGGCUUCCUUCUCAAUUUGAGCAUAAUUUUUCUCACUUGGUGAUGCAAAUGCAAUAGGGUGUUCUUCACCUGACGGUAGAACAUGUGAGAUGAUGGCUCCUACUCCAUAUGGAGAUGCAUCAGACGCAAGUCUCAGCUUCAUCUCUGUGUCGUAUUGGGCAAGCGACUUGCUCUUUAGCAGACGCUGUUUGCAAGUCUUGAAUGCUUCUUCGCAUUGUGGGGACCAAGAUCUGAUCUAUUGUGUGUUGGAAUAUUGCUGGAGCUGUUGAGAUUCCAUAGGCCAAGUGAUUGAAUCUGAAUAGCCCCUUGUGUGUAUUGAUGGUCAGAUACUGUUCUAUCUCCGGAUCCAGCUUCAGUUGCUGAUAAUCGAAUGACAGGUCCAGCUUACUGAAAACCUUCCCACGAGCUAGAGUGGCAAACAGAUCUACAGCGUUUGGUAGUGGAUAUUCCUCUGUUAGUAUGCAGCGAUUUACUGUGACCUUGUAGUCUCCGCACAUUCUGAC